UUAAUCUAUUCUUUACCGAGUGUCAUGUACUGCCUAGGUAUCAGUGAUAUAACUAUUAUCCUGCUAUCAAAUCUACUGAUAAGUGGCUCAUUUAACUUAUAGGCACUCAUCACAAUGCAAGAAAUCCUCUGACUGCUCCUACCAUCAUGGCCCCUAGCCAUGAUAUGACUUGUCUCCACACUAGCAGAAACUAAUCGAGUCCCUAUAUUAGGGAUAAGUGGCAUUUAUAUAUAUAUAUAUAAUUUUUAUAUAUAAU
rnacentral:lncRNA from 1 species